AUGAACGAAGAAGAGGCCCCUGAUCAACCGAAGAAGAAGAAUCAUUUGUAUGCUUGUAUGUUGGACGACAAUGGAAUUGAAGGCUUGGACAAGCAUGCUGAGCAUAAAGCAAAUUCAAGCAUCACUAAACAGUAUUCCAUCGUAAGAGAUAUAACUGAACUUGAGCUUGGUACCGGAGCAGAAAGGCUGAAACAAAUUAUCAGUGAUUUACCAUCAGCAGAAGACUUUCACGCAAAUUAG